UACGUAGGGGGCGAGCGUUGCCCGGAAUCAUUGGGCGUAAAGGGCGCGCAGGCGGCCUGAUUAGUCGUGGGUGAAAUCGUUCGGCUCAACCGAGCGGGGUCCUGCGAAACGGUCGGGCUGGAGCAAGGCAGGGGGUCGUGGAAUUCCCGGUGUAGUGGUGGAAUGCGUAGAGAUCGGGAGGAACACCAGUGGCGAAGGCGGCGACCUGGGCCUGUGCUGACGCUGAGGCGCGAAAGCGUGGGGAGCGAUC
rnacentral:rRNA from 1 species